rnacentral:rRNA from 1 species
UACGGGGGGGGCAAGCGUUGUUCGGAAUUACUGGGCGUAAAGGGCUCGUAGGCGGCCAACUAAGUCGGAUGUGAAAUCCCCAAGCUUAACUUGGGAACUGCAUCCGAUACUGGAUGGCUUGAAUCCGGGAGAGGGAUGCAGAAUUCCAGGUGUAGCGGUGAAAUGCGUAGAUAUCUGGAGGAACACCAAUGGCGAAGGCAGCACUCUGGGACGUGACUGACGCUGAGACGCGAAAGCGUGGGGAGCAAACAGG